rnacentral:tRNA from 1 species
GCUGGGAUUGGGGCUCAGUGGUAGAGCACGCGCCUAGCAUGUGCGAGGCCUUGGGUUCGAUCCUCAGCCCCACA